GGGGGUGCACCGGUUUCGACUGAUGCGAUUCGGGAUACAGGCUGCAGGUGGAGUGCCGAUCUCCUGAUUCGGCAAAAAUUUAACUGCCGACAACGACAGUUACGCUUUCGCUGCGUAAGCAGUAGAGCGCGGGACCCGGCUCCGCUGCCUUGAGGAGCCGGCUUCCCGACGCAAUCAAGGCUGGUCAAGCAUCGGGUCCGGACGGUGUGCGGCGAGAAAUUCCCAGAAUACGGAUGAGCCGCGUGCCGCUUAGCCAAGCCCAUCCCGACAAUUCAAUAAGCGGCUAAACUUGUAGACGCCUGUGUUUCGCGUACCAGGACGCGGGUUCGACUCCCGCCACCUCCAC
rnacentral:tmRNA from 1 species